UACAGAGGUCUCGAGCGUUAGGCGGAAUCACUGGGCUUAAAGCGUGUGUAGGUGGAUCGUUAAGUACCUUGUGAAAUCCCACGGCUUAACCGUGGAACUGCUUGGUAUACUGGCGGUCUUGAGUCAGCUAGGGGCUACCGGAACAAAUGGUGGAGCGGUGAAAUGCGUAGAUAUCGGGAGGAACACCAGUGGCGAAGGCGACUUCCUGGCCUGUUCUUGACGCUGAGGCGCGAAAGCUAGGGUAGCAAACGGG
rnacentral:rRNA from 1 species